rnacentral:tRNA from 1 species
GGAUAUGGCUCAGUGGUAGAACAUUUGCCUAGAAUGCAGGAGGCCCUGGGUUUGAUCCCCAGCAACACA